AAGCUGGAAACACGCGGCUGUCGGUCGCCUCCGCCAUUUCCCAUGGCCGCGUAUUUCGCCGUCUGGGCCUUGGUCCCGAGUCCCACCCCACCUGUUGCGGGACUUGCCCACGGGACGCGGCACGAACGCAUCGAGGCGUCAUGGGCGCGUGUCCACGAGGUGAGGGGCUACGCUGAGAAGCUCAUCGACUAUGGGAAGCUGGGAGACACCAGUGAACGAGCCAUGCGCAUGGCUGACUUCUGGCUCACGGAGAAGGACUUGAUCCCAAAGCCGUUUCAAGUACUGGCCCCUCGAUACCGAGGUCAGAAUGGGGGCUACACGAGAAUGCCGCAGAUUCCAAAUCGGAGUGAGCAGGAUGGAGCCAAGAUGGCAGUGAUCGAAUAUGAAGGGAACUGCCUCCCGCCCUUUCCUCUGCCUCACAGAGAUAGCAACCUUACACUCCUAAAUCAGCUGCUGCAGGGUCUGCGGCAGCACCUCGCCCAGAACCAGGAAGCCAGAGUCCGCAGCUCCCACACAGCUCAAACUCCAGGGAUUUAACUGGAUCUGAAGCAUCCCCAGCCAGUACCGGUGCCCAAGAUCACAGAUCUUUGGAGCUCUUUUAAUCUCUGAAAAGAACUGGAGCUAAGAGUUGGAAAAUGGACAAUCUUAAUGGGGCCAAGAACCUUCUGGGGAGCCAGGUGGCCCUGUUUGCACAAUAGAUAAAAUUCUUUAUAUGAGUGUAUA